rnacentral:rRNA from 1 species
CCUACGGGGGGCUGCAGUGGGGAAUAUUGGACAAUGGGGGGAACCCUGAUCCAGCCAUGCCGCGUGUGUGAAGAAGGCCCUCGGGUUGUAAAGCACUUUCAGUGAGGAAGAACGCCUGGUGGUUAAUACCCAUCAGGAAAGACAUCACUCACAGAAGAAGCACCGGCUAACUCCGUGCCAGCAGCCGCGGUAAUACGGGGGGUGCGAGCGUUAAUCGGAAUUACUGGGCGUAAAGCGCGCGUAGGUGGCUUGAUAAGCCGGUUGUGAAAGCCCCGGGCUCAACCUGGGAACGGCAUCCGGAACUGUCAAGCUAGAGUGCAGGAGAGGAAGGUAGAAUUCCCGGUGUAGCGGUGAAAUGCGUAGCGAUCGGGAGGAAUACCAGUGGCGAAGGCGGCCUUCUGGACUGACACUGACACUGAGGUGCGAAAGCGUGGGUAGCAAACAGGAUUAGAUACCCCAGUAGUC